ACUCCUACGGGAGGCAGCAGUGGGGAAUAUUGCACAAUGGGGGAAACCCUGAUGCAGCCAUGCCGCGUGUGUGAAGAAGGCCUUCGGGUUGUAAAGCACUUUCAGUAGGGAGGAAGGUAGUGUAGUUAACACCUGCACUAUUUGACGUUACCUACAGAAGAAGCACCGGCUAACUCCGUGCCAGCAGCCGCGGUAAUACGGAGGGUGCGAGCGUUAAUCGGAAUUACUGGGCGUAAAGCGCAUGCAGGCGGCCUGUUAAGUCAGAUGUGAAAGCCCGGGGCUUAACCCUCGGAAUUGCAUUUGAAACUGGCAGGCUAGAGUCUUGUAGAGGGGGUAGAAUUUCAGGUGUAGCGGUGAAAAUGCGUAGAGAUCUGAAGGAAUACCAGUGGCGAAGGCGGCCCCCUGGACAAAGACUGACGCUCAGAUGCGAAAGCGUGGGGAGCAAACAGGAUUAGAUACCCUGGUAG
rnacentral:rRNA from 1 species